ensembl:Y_RNA Y_RNA Y RNA
GGCUAGUCCGAGUGCGGUGGUGAUUACAAUUGAUUGAUCACAACAAGUUACAGAUACCUUUGUUCCUUCUUCACUCUCACCACUUCAUUUGACUAGUCUUAA